AGCUGCAGCGGAAGCGCGCAGUUCCUCUCAGGCAGUUCAAGGGGCCAUGAGACAGAGCUACGUGAGGCAGUGUCUGCUGUUUUCGGCUCCCACUGUAGUGUAAGGAAAUCAAUUACAAAUCUUCUUGACACUUGACAUAGAUACACUCAGAAGUCUCCCAACACCUUCCCUCAAAAUCUAGGCUCAUCUCCUGGGAAAUUGUAUUCAUAUUUUUGGGGAUGAAGAUACAAAAAGAAAAUGGGUAGGGUAGGGACAGCGGACAUACUAUACAUUAAUAAAGAGCAUCAUUUUCUGUAGGUCUUGGAGUGCCAAGAGUCUGCCGAUGGAAGACAUUAAAUUACAGUAAAAUCCAA